rnacentral:rRNA from 1 species
GUUGUAUAGUCAAGUAAUUAAGUGCAUGUGGUGGAUGCCUUGGCAGUCAGAGGCGAUGAAAGACGUGAUAGCCUGCGAAAAGCUCCGGGGAGGCGGCAAAUAUCCUUUGAUCCGGAGAUGUCUGAAUGGGGGAACCCACCUACUUUAAGGUAGGUAUUGCAACAUGAAUACAUAGUGUUGCAAGGCGAACGAGGGGAAGUGAAACAUCUCAGUACCCUUAGGAAAAGAAAUCAAUUGAGAUUCCCUCAGUAGCGGCGAGCGAACGGGGAUCAGCCCAUUAAGUUAUGUGUGUUUUAGUGGAACGCUCUGGGAAGUGCGAACGUAGAGGGUGAUAUUCCCGUACACGAAAGGGCACACAUAAUGAUGACGAGUAGGGCGAGGCACGUGAAACCUUGUCUGAAUAUGGGGGGACCAUCCUCCAAGGCUAAAUACUCCUGACUGACCGAUAGUGAACCAGUACCGUGAGGGAAAGGCGAAAAGAACCCCUGUGAGGGGAGUGAAAUAGAUCCUGAAACCGCAUGCAUACAAGCAGUGGGAGCACCUUCGUGGUGUGACUGCGUACCUUUUGUAUAAUGGGUCAGCGACUUAUAUUCAGUAGCGAGGUUAACCGUAUAGGGGAGCCGUAGAGAAAUCGAGUCUUAAUAGGGCGUUUAGUUGCUGGGUAUAGACCCGAAACCAGGCGAUCUAUCCAUGAGCAGGUUGAAGGUUGGGUAACACUAACUGGAGGACCGAACCCACUGUCGUUGAAAAGCCAGGGGAUGACUUGUGGAUAGGGGUGAAAGGCUAAUCAAGCCUGGUGAUAGCUGGUUCUCCCCGAAAGCUAUUUAGGUAGCGCCUCGGACGAAUACCAUAGGGGGUAGAGCACUGUUUCGGCUAGGGGGUCAUCCCGACUUACCAAACCGAUGCAAACUCCGAAUACCUAUGAGUACUAUCCGGGAGACAGACUGCGGGUGCUAACGUCCGUAGUCAAGAGGAAAACAAUCCAGACCGCCAGCUAAGGCCCCAAAAUCAUAGUUAAGUGGGAAACGAUGUGGGAAGGCAUAGACAGCUAGGAGGUUGGCUUAGAAGCAGCCACCCUUUAAAGAAAGCGUAAUAGCUCACUAGUCGAGUCGGCCUGCGCGGAAGAUGUAACGGGGCUAAAACUAUGUGCCGAAGCUGCGGAUGUAUACUUUGUAUACGUGGUAGGGGAGCGUUCUGUAAGCCGAUGAAGGUGUGUUGAGAAGCAUGCUGGAGGUAUCAGAAGUGCGAAUGCUGACGUGAGUAACGACAAAACGGGUGAAAAACCCGUUCGCCGAAAGACCAAGGGUUCCAGUCCAACGUUAAUCGGGGCUGGGUGAGUCGACCCCUAAGGCGAGGCCGAAAGGCGUAGUCGAUGGGAAAAUGGUUAAUAUUCCAUUACUUCUGUGUAAUGCGAUGAGAGGACGGAGAAGGCUAAAUCAGCCUGGCGUUGGUUGUCCAGGUGAAAGGAUGUAGGCAUGUAUCUUAGGCAAAUCCGGGGUGCUCUAUGCUGAGAUCUGAUAGCAAGCUGUACUUGUACAGCGAAGUGGUUGAUGCCAUGCUUCCAGGAAAAGUCUCUAAGCUUCAGUUACACAGGAAUCGUACCCGAAACCGACACAGGUGGUCAGGUCGAGUAGACCAAGGCGCUUGAGAGAACUCUGCUGAAGGAACUAGGCAAAAUGGUACCGUAACUUCGGGAGAAGGUACGCUGUUGUUGGUGAUGGAACUCGCUUCCUGAGCUGACGACAGCCGCAGAAACCAGGCCGCUGCAACUGUUUAUUAAAAACAUAGCACUCUGCAAACACGAAAGUGGACGUAUAGGGUGUGAUGCCUGCCCGGUGCUGGAAGGUUAAUUGAUGGGGUUAGCGUAAGCGAAGCUCUUGAUCGAAGCCCCAGUAAACGGCGGCCGUAACUAUAACGGUCCUAAGGUAGCGAAAUUCCUUGUCGGGUAAGUUCCGACCUGCACGAAUGGCAUAAUGAUGGCGGCGCUGUCUCCAGCAGAGGCUCAGUGAAAUCGAAAUCGCUGUGAAGAUGCAGUGUACCCGCGGCUAGACGGAAAGACCCCGUGAACCUUUACUGCAGCUUGACACUGAACUUUGACCUUACUUGUGUAGGAUAGGUGGGAGGCUUUGAAGCUGGAACGCUAGUUCCAGUGGAGCCGUCCUUGAAAUACCACCCUGGUAAUGUUGAGGUUCUAACUCUGUCCCGUGAUCCGGGACGAGGACCGUGUCUGGUGGGUAGUUUGACUGGGGCGGUCUCCUCCUAAAGAGUAACGGAGGAGUACGAAGGUGCGCUCAGCGUGGUCGGAAAUCACGCGUAGAGUAUAAAGGCAAAAGCGCGCUUAACUGCGAGACCCACAAGUCGAGCAGGUACGAAAGUAGGUCUUAGUGAUCCGGUGGUUCUGUAUGGAAGGGCCAUCGCUCAACGGAUAAAAGGUACUCUGGGGAUAACAGGCUGAUACCGCCCAAGAGUUCAUAUCGACGGCGGUGUUUGGCACCUCGAUGUCGGCUCAUCUCAUCCUGGGGCUGAAGCAGGUCCCAAGGGUAUGGCUGUUCGCCAUUUAAAGAGGUACGCGAGCUGGGUUUAGAACGUCGUGAGACAGUUCGGUCCCUAUCUACCGUGGGCGCUGGAAAUUUGAGAGGAUCUGCUCCUAGUACGAGAGGACCAGAGUGGACGAACCUCUGGUGUACCGGUUGUGACGCCAGUCGCAUCGCCGGGUAGCUAUGUUCGGAAGGGAUAACCGCUGAAAGCAUCUAAGCGGGAAGCCUACCUCAAGAUAAGAUUUCCCUAGGACUUUAUGUCCUCUAAAGAGCCGUUCGAGACUAGGACGUUGAUAGGUUGGAUGUGGAAGCAUAGUGAUAUGUGAAGCUGACCAAUACUAAUUGCUCGUGAGGCUUGACUAUACAACACCCAAGCAGUUG